rnacentral:rRNA from 1 species
UACGGAGGGGGCAAGCGUUAUUCGGAAUUAUUGGGCGUAAAGGGCGCGUAGGCGGCUAGAUGUGUCAAAGGUGAAAUCCCUCGGCUCAACUGAGGAACUGCCUUUGAAACUGUCUGGCUUGAGGCCGGGAGAGGGUAGCGGAAUUCCCAGUGUAGCGGUGAAAUGCGUAGAUAUUGGGAGGAACACCAGUGGCGAAGGCGGCUACCUGGACCGGUUCUGACGCUGAGGCGCGAAAGCGUGGGUAGCAAGCAGG